GUCCAACGUUAAUCGGGGCAGGGUGAGUCGACCCCUAAGGCGAGGCUGAAAAGCGUAGUCGAUGGGAAACAGGUUAAUAUUCCUGUACUUGGUGUUACUGCGAAGGGGGGACGGAGAAGGCUAGGCUGGCCGGGCGACGGUUGUCCCGGUUUAAGCGUGUAGGGGGUGUGACCUGGUAAAUCCGGUUGCAUACUAACCCUGAGGCGUGAUGACGAUGCACUACGGUGCAGAAGUAGUUGAUGCCCUGCUUCCAGGAAAAGCCUCUAAGCUCCAGGUAACAUUAAAUCGUACCCCAAACCGACACAGGUGGUCAGGUAGAGAAUACCAAGGCGCUUGAGAGAACUCGGGUGAAGGAACUAGGCAAAAUGGUGCCGUAACUUCGGGAGAAGGCACGCUGGCAUGUAGGUGAA
rnacentral:rRNA from 1 species